UACAGAGGGGGCAAGCGUUGUUCGGAAUUACUGGGCGUAGGGCGCGUAGGCGGCCCGCUAAGUCGAACGUGAAAUCCCCGAGCUCAACUCGGGAACUGCGUCCGAUACUGGUGGGCUUGAAUCCGGGAGAGGGAUGCGGAAUUCCAGGUGUAGCGGUGAAAUGCGUAGAUAUCUGGAGGAACACCGGUGGCGAAGGCGGCAUCCUGGACCGGCAUUGACGCUGAGGCGCGAAAGCUAGGGGAGCAAACGGG
rnacentral:rRNA from 1 species